rnacentral:rRNA from 1 species
AACACGACUCUCAGUAAUAGAUAUCUUGGCUCUCACCACGAUGAAGAACAUAGCGAAAUGCGACACUUGGUGUGAAUUGUAGAAUCCCGUGAAUCAUCGAGUCUUUGAAUGCAAGUUACACUUGAGGCUUCGAUCAAGGGCACGUCUGCUUGGGCAUUGCAC